UUUGGGAUUUGGGAUUUGGGAAUUUGGGGAUUUGGGGAUUUGGGGAUUUGGGAUCCGGCCCCGCCGAGCCAGAGCCGCUCAUCCUCCGGAAUUCUGGGAGCGGGAAAAUCGGGAUCGGGGAUUGGGGAUUUGGGGAUUUUGGGAUCAGGAAUUUGGGAUUUGGGAUCUGACCCCGCGGAGUCGGAGCCGCUCAUCCUCCGGAAUUCUGGGAAUGGGAAAAUCGGGAUCGGGGAUUUGGGGAAAGGAUCCAGGAUUUGGGAUUUGGGAUUUGGGGAUUUGGGGAAUUUGGGAUUUGGGGUCUGAGAUCGCGGAGCCGCUCAUCCUCCGGAAUUCUGGGAGCGGGAAAAUCGGGAUUUGGGAUUUGGGAUCAGGAAUUUGGGAUUUUGGGAUUUGGGAAAGGAUCCAGAAUCUGGGAUUUGGGAUUUGGGAUUUGGGAAUUUGGGAUUUGGGAUCCGACCCUGUGUAGCUGGAGCCGUUCAUCCUCCGGAAUUCUGGGAGCGGGAAAAUCGGGAUCGGGGAUUUUGGGAUCCGGGAAAGGAUCCAGGAUUUGGGAUUUGGGAUUUUGGGAUUUGGGGAAUUUGGGAUUUGGGGAAUUUGGGAUUUGGGAUCUGAGAUCGCGGAGCCGCUCAUCCUCCGGAAUUCUGGGAGAGGGAAAUUUGAGAUUGGGGAUUCAGGAUUUGGGGAUUUGGGAUCAGGAAUUUGGGAUUCGGGAUUUUGGGAUUUUGGGGAUCAGGAAUUUGGGAUUCGGGAUUUGGGAUUUUGGGGAUUCGGGAUCCGACCCCGCGGAGCCGGAGCCGCUCAUCCUCCGGAAUUCUGGGAGCGGGAAAAUCGGGAUUUGGGAUUUUGGGAUCCAGGAAAGGAUCCAGGAUUUGGGAUUUGGGAUUUUGGGAUUUUGGGAUUUGGGGAUUUUGGGAUUUAGGGAAUUUGGGAUUUGGGAUCUGAGAUCACGGAGCCGCUCAUCCUCCGGAAUUCUGGGAGAGGGAAAAUCGGGAUCUGGGAUUGGGGAUUUGGGGAUUUGGGGAUUUUGGGAUUUUGGGAUUUUGGGAUUUGGGGAUCAGGAAUUUGGGAUUUUGGGAUUUGGGAUCCGACCCCGUGUAGCUGGAGCUGUUCAUCCUCCGGAAUUCUGGGAGCAGGAAAUUCGGGAUUUGGGAUUUGGGAUUUUGGGAAAGGAUCCAGGAUUCAGGAUCAGGAAUUUGGGAUUUGGGAUCCAACCCCGCGGAGCCGGAGCCGCUCAUCCUCCGGAAUUCUGGGAGCGGGAAAAUCGGGAUUUGGGAUUUUGGGAUCCAGGAAAGGAUCCAGGAUUUGGGAUU
rnacentral:lncRNA from 1 species